CUUGCAAUCAAUCCCCUUUCAUGGUUUCUGGGUAUGAACUGUAAACGAAGAGCCAUGGCCCGCACUCAAUUGGGUUUUUUUUCGAGAGUGUAAAAGAGCUAUAGAGAAAGUUGAAUUGAUGUUGAGAUGAAGACGAAGAUACAUGGACCGAGCAGCAUCGUCGAUGGAAUUGUGACA